UGGUGGCUCAUGCCUGUAAUCCCAGCACUUUGGGAGGCUGAGGCUGGUAGAUCACCUGAGGUCAGGAGUUUGAGACUAACCUUGCCAACAUGGUAAAACCUCAUCUCUAUUAAAAAAAAAAAAAAAAAACACAAAAAUCAGCUGGGCAUGGUGGCACGCACCUGUAAUCCCAGCUACUCGGGAGGCUGAGGCAGGACAAUCACUUGAAUCUGGGAGGUGGAGGCUGUGGUGAGCCGAGAUCACGCCACUGUACCCCAGCCUGGUGACAAAGCGAGACUCUGUCUCAAAAAAAAAAAUAAAAUAGGCCGGGUGCGGUGGCUCACACCUGUAACCCCAGCACUUUGGGAGGCCGAGGCAGGCGGAUCACGUCAGGAGAUCAAGAGCAUCCUGGCUAACACAGUGAAACCCCGUCUCUACUAAAAAUACAAAAAAUUAGCUGGGCAUGGUGGCGGGCGCCUGUAGUCCCAGCUACUCGGGAGGCUGAGGCAGGAAAAUGGUGUGAACCCGGGAGGCGCAGGUUGCAGUGAGCCGAGAUCGCGUCACUGCACUCCAACCUGGGUGACAGAGUGAGACUCCAUCUCAAAAAAAAAAAAAAAUAAUAGUAAUUGUCAUUUCAUGUUUAUUUGUCUGUUCUCCCUGAUUACUGGGGGUGUGUUAAUGGAAGGGCAUGUUAUCCUCCCCCAUUUGUUUAGACUGAGGAAGGAUAGUAGGGAGCAUUGUGAGCUAUAAAGACAGUUUCUCUUUGGUUGAGCAAUGGUGUGUUGGUGAUUACAGGUCGUCAUUAUAAAUAAAAUGAAUUUUGUUUUCAAGAGACAGGGUCUAGCUGUGUUGCCCAAGCUGGUCUCGAAUUCCUGGGCUUAAGUGAUCCACCCACCUAGGCCUCCCAAAAUGCUGGGAUUACAGGCAUGUGCCACUGUGCCCGGCCACCUUACGUUUAAAGAGGAGAAAUUCAUGGUCCUUUCAAAGUUACUGAAGUUUAACAAUGAACAAAUUGGAUUUCUCAUAACACUUUUGGAAUGUACAUUUUGGGAUAUAUAGAUAUAUAUGGAAUGUACAUAUUUAGCUUUAACUUUUCAAAAUGCUUAAAAAUUCAAGUUUAAUGGUAUGCCCUUUUUUUUUUAAG
rnacentral:lncRNA from 10 species